UUUAAUUGAAGAGUUUGAUCAUGGCUCAGAUUGAACGCUGGCGGCAGGCCUAACACAUGCAAGUCGAGCGGUAACAGAAAGUAUCUUGCUACUUUGCGGACGAGCGGCGGCCGGCUGAGUUAUGCUU
rnacentral:rRNA from 1 species